rnacentral:tRNA from 1 species
UAUGUAACGUGCCUGAAUAAAGGAUAAUCUUGAUAGGAUUGGUCAUGUGUAAAAUCACCAUU